UACGUAGGGAGCAAGCGUUGUCCGGAAUUACUGGGUGUAAAGGGAGCGUAGGCGGAAUGGAAAGUUGAAUGUGAAAUCUAUCGGCUCAACCGGUAGCUGCGUUCAAAACUUCUGUUCUUGAGUGAAGUAGAGGCAGGCGGAAUUCCUAGUGUAGCGGUGAAAUGCGUAGAUAUUAGGAGGAACACCAGUGGCGAAGGCGGCCUGCUGGGCUUUAACUGACGCUGAGGCUCGAAAGCGUGGGGAGCAAACAGG
rnacentral:rRNA from 1 species